rnacentral:rRNA from 1 species
AACGAACGCUGGCGGCGCGCUUAACACAUGCAAGUCGAACGCACCGGUUUCGGCCGGUGAGUGGCGGACGGGUGAGUAACGCGUGGGAACCUGCCCUUUGGUCUGGGAUAACCGCGGGAAACCGCGGCUAAGACCGGAUAUUCCCGUGAGGGGAAAGACAUGUCGCCGAAGGAUGGGCCCGCGUCGGAUUAGGUAGUUGGUGGGGUAACGGCCCACCAAGCCUGCGAUCCGUAGCUGGUCUGAGAGGAUGGCCAGCCACACUGGGACUGAGACACGGCCCAGACUCCUACGGGAGGCAGCAGUGGGGAAUCUUGGACAAUGGGCGAAAGCCUGAUCCAGCGACGCCGCGUGGGUGACGAAGGCCUUCGGGUUGUAAAGCCCUUUUGCCGGGGACGAUGAUGACGGUACCCGGAGAAGAAGCACCGGCUAACUCCGUGCCAGCCGCCGCGGUAAAAC